rnacentral:tRNA from 1 species
GGUUGGUUAGCUCAGUCGGUUAAAGCAUGGUGCUGAUAACAUCAAGGUUGCAGGUUCAAUCCCUGUUCGGUCCC